GAAGAGGCAAGAAGCAUGUGAGCCCGCUCCUGGGCUCCUCCAGGCAGUACCAGAAACGUGGCCACACUCCAGGACCGCCUUGGACCUCAGACCCUUAAGGGGCCCCGGCCCAGGACACCCGGCCCUCCUCGGCGCCCAGCGCCCUCCAGCCCCGGAGGGGCCCGCGUGCACUGACCUCCGGCCGGGCCCCUCACCCACCUUGAGGACCUGCUGCUUGAUGAUGGAGGGCACCAUCACGAUCAUGAUAACGCCCAGCACGGCGCACAGCAGCCCGGCGAAGCCCAGCGCCGCGGCCACCCGGCGCGCUCUAGAGCGGCUGCCCAUGUCUGCGCGCCCCGGCGCCCGCGCGGUGCUCGCGGAGCUCCGCGCCUGUGGAGGGACAGAGGCGGGGACGAAGGUGACUGAAGCAGCGACUCCGCGGACGCGGGCCGCAGCGGCACGGCGGGCCCCGGACCGCAGCACACGGAGGAGCGGCCCGGCAGCUCCCAAGAGACAGAAGCUGGUCUGUUUUUGCGAAUGGAUGUAACCCCAGCACCUGGAACAAUGCCUGGCACCUAGUACAUACUCAAUAAAGCCUUGAAAUAAUUAACCUUUAAUUAAUCAACCAACUCAUUCAUUAAUUAAUAUAAUUUCAUUGAAUUCCUUAAGGCCUUCAGCGGCCAUCAGCUUUGGGGAUUGUUUUAUGUUUGCUGACUUUUGUAGUUCUUGGGAAUUAACUAAUUAACUAAAAUCUGGGGUCUGUGCUCGCCCUGACGCCACCCCCUUCUUUGAUACCCAGCUUCCCUCGGCAAGGACUGGCUCGCCUUGACCAUCUCACCCAAUCUAACUUUCAAGUCUUCAAGGUCCAAAUGUACGUGAUGCUUACCCAAGAGAGCCCCCAAGGCCACGGCAAGAGCGUUCUCAUGUCACGCCACACUGUCACUUGACAAGAGAGAAAGCAGAGAUGAAAGGAUGUCUGAGACACAUGACCAGCCGUGACCUCGCUGUGGGGAGUCACAUCCACUGGGGGAGUAGGGGGCGGUGACCUAAGAAGCCAGAGAAAAGACUUCAUCAUGUUUCAGAGAGAGGCUUUGCCAGGAUGAGGCAAGACAAUGAUGCAGAAGGAAACUUUGAAAGAUUAAUGAUAGUAAAAUAUUAUCAACGUGCAUGUCAGAGAAAUCCUGUAAACGCCAAGUCAGAUGACGUUCCUCCUCAGCUCAAAACCCUCCCACGAUCGAAAGACACUUAGUAGGAGUGUUGGCAAAGAGGUGGAGAAAUUGGGACCCUCAUACACUGCUGGUGGGAUUGUAAAAUGGCACGGCCACUGUGGAGAACAGUCUGGAAACAGCUCCUCGAAAGACUAAACACAGAGUUGCCAUAAGUCCCCGCAGUUCCCCUCCCGGGUAUACAUGAGAGAAAUGAAAACUGUGUCCGCACAAAAAUGUGUACAUGACAGCACUCUUCACGGUAGCCAAAAGGUGGAAGCAACCCAAAUACCGCCCACUGACACAUGGAUAAAUAAAACGUGGAAUAUCCCACAAUGGAAUAUUAUUUGAUAUUAAAAAAUGAAGUACUGAUCCAUGCUGCAACACGGAUGACUUUGAAGACAUUACCCUAAGUGAAAGAGGCAGUUACAAA